GAUGAACGCUAGCGGCAGGCCUAAUACAUGCAAGUCGGACGGGAUAUGGGAGCUUGCUUCCAUUGAGAGUGGCGCACGGGNGCGUAACACGUAUGUAACCUACCCUUGUCAGGGGGAUAGCCUCUCGAAAGAGAGAUUAAGCCCGCAUAAAAUCACGAUACAGCAUUGUAAUGUGAUCAAAUAUUUAUAGGACGAGGAUGGGCAUGCGGAACAUUAGCUAGUUGGUAAGGUAACGGCUUACCAAGGCGACGAUGUUUAGGGGAUCUGAGAGGAUGACCCCCCACACUGGUACUGAGACACGGACCAGACUCCUACGGGAGGCAGCAGUAAGGAAUAUUGGUCAAUGGGCGGAAGCCUGAACCAGCCAUGCCGCGUGCAGGAAGACGGCCCUACGGGUUGUAAACUGCUUUUGCAGGGGAAUAAACCCCCGUACGUGUACGGGGCUGAAUGUACUCUGAGAAUAAGGAUCGGCUAACUCCGUGCCAGCAGCCGCGGUAAUACGGAGGAUCCAAGCGUUAUCCGGAUUUAUUGGGUUUAAAGGGUGCGUAGGCGGCUUAUUAAGUCAGGGGUGAAAGACGGUAGCUUAACUAUCGCAGUGCCUUUGAUACUGAUGAGCUUGAAUGUAGUUGAGGUAGGCGGAAUGUGACAAGUAGCGGUGAAAUGCAUAGAUAUGUCACAGAACACCAAUUGCGAAGGCAGCUUACUAAAGUAUGAUUGACGCUGAGGCACGAAAGCGUGGGGAUCAAACAGGAUUAGAUACCCUGGUAGUCCACNCCCUAAACGAUGAAUACUCGAUGUUGGCGAUAUACAGUCAGCGUCAAAGCGAAAGCGUUAAGUAUUCCACCUGGGGAGUACGCCCGCAAGGGUG
rnacentral:rRNA from 1 species